CCGUCGAUCGCGGGAGGUUCACUGCUCAGAGUCGAGCAGGAACCGGGCGAAGAUGGUUGAUCGUUCAAGGUCGUCUCGCACUCCCUGAGCGUCUCGUUCUCACUGCGAGAGGAGGCGUACCAAGAGCAUACCUACUGGGACCCGAAAGAUGGUGAACUACGCCUGGUCAGGACUACGUCGAGGGAAACCCUGAUGGAGGUCCGCAGCGAUUCUGACGUGCAAAUAGAUCGUCGGAAGAGAGUAUAGAGGUGAAAGACUAAUCGAACCAUAUUAGCUGGUUGGCGGAGUGCCAAGUAGGCCACUUUUGGUAAGAACUGGCGCUGUGGGAUGAACCAAAUGCCGAGUUAAAUCACCGCGAGUUAACAAAGAAGAGAAUUUGGUUCUGAAGUUCGUCGAAAAAUUUCUCACGUCGGAGAGUUUUUUAGACCGACUAACAUCUAUGAUACAGAAAAACAUAAGCGCGUUCUUCGAGACGAAAUUUACAGA
rnacentral:ncRNA from 1 species